CAAGUCGAGCGAGGCGGAGGGGGCAACUCCUCUAGCCGAGCGGCGGACGGGUGAGUAACACGUGGGUAACCUGCCCGGAAGUGGGGAAUACCUCGGGGAAACUCGAGCUAAUGCCGCAUAAAAUCUCCGGGACGAAAGUCCUGGCGAUCAAAGCGGGGUCGCAAGAUCUCGCGCUACCGGAUGGGCCCGCGCCCGAUUAGCUAGUUGGUGAGGUAAUGGCUCACCAAGGCAACGAUCGGUAGCCGGCCUGAGAGGGUGAUCGGCCACACCGGAACUGAGACACGGUCUGGACUCCUACGGGAGGCAGCAGUGGGGAAUCUUGCGCAAUGGGCGAAAGCCUGACGCAGCAACGCCGCGUGGAGGAUGAAGGCCCUUGGGUUGUAAACUCCUGUCGGCUGGGAAGAACUCGUACGAUGCUCAUACCAUCGUGCGUUGACUGUACCAGCAAAGGAAGCCCCGGCUAACUCUGUGCCAGCAGCCGCGGUAAUACAGAGGGGGCUAGCGUUAUUCGGAAUUAUUGGGCGUAAAGGGCGCGUAGGCGGCCUUGCGUGUCUUUCGUGAAAUCCCUCGGCUUAACUGAGGACGUGCGGAAGAAACUGCAGGGCUUGAGUCCGGGAGAGGGGGGGUGGAAUUCCCAGUGUAGCGGUGAAAUGCGUAGAUAUUGGGAGGAACACCGGUGGCGAAGGCGGCCCCCUGGACCGGUACUGACGCUGAGGCGCGAAAGCGUGGGGAGCAAACGGGAUUAGAUACCCCGGUAGUCCACGCCGUAAACGAUGGGCACUUGGUGUCGCGGGUAUCGACCCCUGCGGUGCCGAAGCUAACGCAUUAAGUGCCCCGCCUGGGGAGUACGGUCGCAAGGCU
rnacentral:rRNA from 1 species